GAACCGUCCAAACGUUAUUCGGAAUUAUUGGGCUUAAAGGGUAUGUAGGCGGCGCUGUUAGUCGGRUGUGAAAUCCCUCGGCUCAACCGAGGAAUUGCGCCCGAUACUGCAGUGCUUGAGGGAGACAGAGGUAAGCGGAACUGAUGGUGGAGCGGUGAAAUGCGUUGAUAUCAUCAGGAACACCGGUGGCGAAAGCGGCUUACUGGGUCUCUUCUGACGCUGAGAUACGAAAGCUAGGGGAGCGAAGGGGAUUAGAUACCCCCGUAGUCCUAGCUGUAAACGUUGAGCACUUGGUCGGGGAUCCCCUCAUAGGUUCUCGGCCGUAGCGAAAGUGUCAAGUGCUCCGCCUGGGGAGUAUGGUCGCAAGGCUG
rnacentral:rRNA from 1 species